AGGGUUCGAUUCUGGCUCAGGAUGAACGCUGGCGGCGUGCUUAACACAUGCAAGUCGAACGGGAUCCAUCAGGCUUUGCUUGGUGGUGAGAGUGGCGAACGGGUGAGUAAUGCGUGACCGACCUGCCCCAUACACCGGAAUAGCUCCUGGAAACGGGUGGUAAUGCCGGAUGCUCCGACUCCUCGCAUGGGGUGUCGGGAAAGAUUUCAUCGGUAUGGGAUGGGGUCGCGUCCUAUCAGGUAGUCGGCGGGGUAACGGCCCACCGAGCCUACGACGGGUAGCCGGCCUGAGAGGGCGACCGGCCACAUUGGGACUGAGAUACGGCCCAGACUCCUACGGGAGGCAGCAGUGGGGAAUAUUGCACAAUGGGCGCAAGCCUGAUGCAGCGACGCCGCGUGCGGGAUGACGGCCUUCGGGUUGUAAACCGCUUUUGAUCGGGAGCAAGCCUUCGGGUGAGUGUACCUUUCGAAUAAGCACCGGCUAACUACGUGCCAGCAGCCGCGGUAAUACGUAGGGUGCAAGCGUUAUCCGGAAUUAUUGGGCGUAAAGGGCUCGUAGGCGGUUCGUCGCGUCCGGUGUGAAAGUCCAUCGCUUAACGGUGGAUCUGCGCCGGGUACGGGCGGGCUGGAGUGCGGUAGGGGAGACUGGAAUUCCCGGUGUAACGGUGGAAUGUGUAGAUAUCGGGAAGAACACCAAUGGCGAAGGCAGGUCUCUGGGCCGUUACUGACGCUGAGGAGCGAAAGCGUGGGGAGCGAACAGGAUUAGAUACCCUGGUAGUCCACGCCGUAAACGGUGGAUGCUGGAUGUGGGGCCCGUUCCACGGGUUCCGUGUCGGAGCUAACGCGUUAAGCAUCCCGCCUGGGGAGUACGGCCGCAAGGCUAAAACUCAAAGAAAUUGACGGGGGCCCGCACAAGCGGCGGAGCAUGCGGAUUAAUUCGAUGCAACGCGAAGAACCUUACCUGGGCUUGACAUGUUCCCGACAGCCGUAGAGAUAUGGCCUCCCUUCGGGGCGGGUUCACAGGUGGUGCAUGGUCGUCGUCAGCUCGUGUCGUGAGAUGUUGGGUUAAGUCCCGCAACGAGCGCAACCCUCGCCCUGUGUUGCCAGCACGUCAUGGUGGGAACUCACG
rnacentral:rRNA from 1 species